GUAAACGUCCAUCUGAAGAAGAACUUCAAGAUUUGAAAGAUAGAUAUGAAUUUAUAGGUGGUUUAUCACCAUUAGCAGGUACAACAGAUGACCAGGCUGAUGCGCUAGUUUCAGCAUUAAAUAAAGCAUAUGCAGAUGUUGAAUUUAAACUAUACUUAGGAU
rnacentral:sRNA from 1 species